AACAAGAUCAUUGGGCUGUCCCCUAAUUGUGGUCAGCUACAUGUUUAGUCUCUUAUGUGCUAAACAUUAUGUAGCCUAAGGAAGCAGCCCUGACUCUGGAGUUUAUAUGAAGGAGCAUGCUGAGUAACUAUCCAGAAAGUAGGUCCAAAGCAGAAAAAAGGGCACCAAGCAGAAACAUACCAUCUAAACUCCUUCGAUUCCUGUCAGACCAGAAAGACUUUCAGAAUCCUUGGAAGAUUUAAAGCCAUUGAAGUAUCAGUAUUGGAGAGGAAGAAGACCCAGUUGUAUCGUCUGUUUCCUGCCAUCUUGCAGUUAACCUGGUUUCUUAAUGUAAAGUACUUGUAAUUUGCCCACUUGUCCUCAAUUAUCUUAAAGCUAACAUUUAAAACUAAUUUGCUAUGAGAUUAUUUGCCAAGACUUCUCACGGUGCGAUUCACAUGUCAAUAUGUAUUAUUGUGUGUAUAACUAGCUAUUUGGAAUUCAAAUGAUUUGC